GCGGCCUGUCUGCAGUGUUUAUUUUGGUGUCUCUAGUCUUCCGCAGAGCCUCCCUCCUGGGUACUGUCGUUUCUAUCACAGUGGCCAGAUGGUCAGAACAAAUAAAAUCCAGUAUCAAAUGACUUCUGGGGGUUGGAGAGAUGGCUCAGUGGUUAAGAACACUAGCUGGUUUUAGAAUUCAAAUCCCAGCAACCACACGAUGGCUCACAACCAUCUGUAAUAAGAUCUGGUGCCCUCUUCUGGCCUACAGGGAUACAUGCAGACAGAACACUAUUCAUAGCAAGCUUCAAUAAAUCAAAAAUAAUAUAUCACUACCGAGGGGUCAAGAGGAAUUUAAGCCAGCCACCAAGAAGAGAAAUGCCAGCACCAGCCUAAGGGGAAAGAUGCCAGAACAGAGACAUUAAAGACCUAACAUGUAC
rnacentral:lncRNA from 1 species